GGUGCUGCUCCAGCAACCGGACGCGGCGGUGGGGCAGGAGCUGCAAGUGCAGCAGCCCCUCUGGCCAAGGGCGGCCAGUUGGCUGCCCAGCUUCAGCCAUUUAAAUAAGUACUUUGAGAAGCUCUUCGGUAGCAGAGCGGCCCCAUGACCUCUGCAAAGACGUGUUCCCCAGCAUGAAGUCUAAGAAAUCUAAAGACGCGAAAAAGCCCGAUACACCACCAGCGAAUGCUACGAAACCCCUUCAAGCAAACGCCAUGAAACCUCUGUCUGAGAAUGCCAUGAAACUACCCCAACAGAACAGCACGAAUCCUGCACCCCGGAACCGCAUGAAACCCUGACCACCAGCCUCCUCCCAGGGCCCCAGGUAGGAGAGCCUGGGCUCAGCUGGCACCACUCAGGAGCCUCGGAACUGGGGUCAGGUCGGAACUGGGGGCAAGUUGAACAGGAGGGGAAGGAAGCCCUGGAGGGUAAGGGGACUCCAGGGUCCCGGGGACUUCUUCUCCAGGCUGGGCUUUGACUUCUGGAAGCCCAGCGUAAGAAUCCCCCAGAAUAUAAACCAACCCCCUUUAUGUUCUGAGAAGGGCCCUAACUCCUGCCUACUCCACCCCCAGUGGGACCAAUAAAGAGAAUCACUGUU